AUACUUACCUGCCAGGUAAGAUAACCAUGAUUAAGAAGGUGGUUUUCCCAGGGUGAGGCUUAUCCAUUGCACUCCGGAUGUGCUGACCCCUGCAAUUUCCCCAAAUGCAGGAAACUGGACUGCAUAAUUUGUGGUAGUGGGGGACUGUGUUCAUGCUCUCCCCUG
rnacentral:snRNA from 1 species